CGUCCGGGGCUGAGGGCAGCCGCGGGCUCCCCGCCACCCUGUGUCACCACAGGUGGUGGCGCGGGGCUGUCCGAGAUCGCCCCGCGCGCGGGCAAUUGGGCAGGAUGCAAAACUCCCGGUUGCCGCCAGCCGCGGCCCAGGGGCCAAGAGUCACACAGCCAUCAGGGUCAUUGCUCCCGCUGCCGUUCCUAGACAUAGCCCCAGCUUGCCCGUCUGCCCCACACCCAGCUGCCCUGACCCUCUGGAUGGCAGAAGGGAUAACGGAGGCCAAGGUCCAGGCCCAGCCAGGCACACAGAUAUUGCAAGCAAUAUUGCCCUUAACUACAGAAUGGCUACUUAAAGUAAAUAUUAUCAGAUCAAUUGCUAAGUACCAGUAAAGACUCAAGAGGACAGAACGAACGAACGAGUUCUUUUGUGCAGUCAACAAAACAGCUGCAAUUACUGUGGUCUUCAACAGAAGGUUUUCUGAAAUGUGAACUGGGGAGACACUUCUUGACAAGCAGAUCUCUCUUUUGAUCACCUUGAACUUAAAAGAAAGACUG